rnacentral:rRNA from 1 species
GCUAGCGACGUGCCUAAGGUAUGCAAGUCGAAUGCCGAUUUAUCGGCAUGGCAGACGGCUGAGUAACACAUGGGAAUCUACCUCAAACUCGAGAAUAGCCCAUCGAAAGGUGGUGUAAUACUCGAUAGUUCCGUUUACGGUAAAGCUCCGGCGGUUUGAGAUGAGCCCAUGUCCUAUCAGGUUGUUGGUGGGGUAAUUGCCUACCAAGCCUAUGACGGGUAGCUGGUUUGAGAGGAUGAUCAGCCAGACUGGGACUGCGAUACGGCCCAGACUCCUACGGGAGGCAGCAACUAGGAAUCAUGCGCAAUGGACGAAAGUCUGACGCUGCGACGUCGCGUGAGGGAUGAAGGUCUUCGGAUCGUAAACCUCUUUUAUCUGGGAACAAGUUCUGAGUGUACCAGAUGAAUAAGUGCCUGCCAACCACGUGCCAGAAGCAUCGGUAAUGCGUGGGGCACGAGCGUUAUCCGGAUUUACUGGGCGUAAAGAGAUGCGUAGGCGCCUUUUUAAGUCACUUGUAAAAUCUCCCCGCUCAACGGGGAAACUGCAAGUGAUACUGAAUUGGUUGAGUCAAGUAGAGGAGAGGGGAAUUCCUGGUGGAGCGGUCAAAUGCGUUGAUAUCAGGAGGAAUACCAAGUGCGAAGGCACCUCUCUGGACUUGUACUGACGCUAAGGCUCGAAAGUGUGGGGAGCAAAACGGAUUAGAUACCCGUGUAGUCCACACUGUAAACGAUCCCUGCUAGAUGUUUGC